rnacentral:lncRNA from 1 species
AUAAAUCUAACAUAUAAAAUGCUGAGUCGGUCUUUCUCUUCGAGUUUUCUUGUUCGUUCUUAUCCUCUGUUUCUCUGCUUCUUCUUUCCUUAGACAUAAAAACCAAGAACCGUUUCUCCUUAUUAUGGAAGCUUUCAUUCUCAUUAAUCAUUCUUUUCUUUCCUUCUACCGCUCUUAAAACAACCCCAUUAUUGCUCGUCCUACAGAAAACAUACCCUUCUUCUACUGUUUCUUGAUCAUUCGUAUAUGCUUUCUUGAUUCUUGAAUUCUUGUUCUUGAUCAAUAUGUUACCAAAGUCUCGAAUGGAGAGCUAAACNN